rnacentral:lncRNA from 1 species
UGAUAGACUUUGCAGUUGUUGCGAUAGAAGCUGUUAUGUCGAAAUCGGGCACCGGUUGUAACAUGGGUGAUUGACUUGAAACUUUUUGCGAUAGAAGCUGUUAUCCAAAACCAGGCAGCGGAUGAAACAUCGGUGAUAGACUUGGAAGUUUUUGCGAUAGAAGCUAAUAUGCCGAAACCGGGCACUAGAUGUAACAUGGGUGAUAGACUUGUCAGUUUUUGCGAUAGAAGCUGUUAUGCCGAAAUCGAGCACCGGAUGUAACAUGGAUGAUAGACUUGGCAAUUUAUCGGAUGGAAGCUGUUAUGCCGAAAUCGGGCACCGGUUGUAACAUGGGAGAUAGACUUGUUAGUUUUUGCGAUAUAAGCUGUUUUUCCAAAAUCUGGCACCGGAUAAAACAUACGUGAUAGACUUGGCAGUAUUUGUGAUAGAAGCUGUGAUGCCGAAAUCAUGCAUCGAUUGUAACAUGGGUG